rnacentral:RNase_P_RNA from 1 species
GAAGCUCGCCAGGCCGCCGCUGGUGCAAGUGCCGAAAGGCCGCACUGGAGGAACGUCCGGACUGCAUAGGGCAGCGUAGCAGCUAACAGCUGUCCACCGUGAGGUGAGGAUCAGAGCAACAGAGACGAGUCGCUGCGGGCAACCGCAGCGGGUGAAACGGGCAAUCUCUACGCGCAGCAAUACCAAGUAGGCCAGUGUUGACCUGUGUCCCGGGGAGCUGGCGGGUAGGUAGCACCGAGCCGGUUGGCGACAACCGGCCCAGAGUAAUGGCGGUCACGCGCCGAGCAUCGAAAGAUGCGCGGCGCGCACAAAAUCCGGCGUAUCGGCGGGCUUCACAC